rnacentral:rRNA from 1 species
CGGCUUGAACUGCGAAUGACCCCUCCCGAAAGGAGCUUCCGCAAGGACAUUCGUAGAGGUGCUGCAUGGCUGUCGUCAGCUCGUGUCGUGAGAUGUUGGGUUAAGUCCCGCAACGAGCGCAACCCUUGUUUGCUGUUGCCAUCAGGUAAAGCUGGGCACUCUGCAAAGACUGCCGGUGACAAACCGGAGGAAGGUGGGGAUGACGUCAAGUCAGCAUGGCCUUUAUGUCUGGGGCCACACACGUGCUACAAUGGCCGGUACAAACCGUCGCGAGCCCGCAAGGGGGAGCUAAUCGGAGAAAGCCGGUCUCAGUUCGGAUAGCAGGCUGCAACUCGCCUGCUUGAAGUUGGAAUCGCUAGUAAUCGCGGAUCAGCACGCCGCGGUGAAUACGUUCCCGGGCCUUGUACACACCGCCCGUCACAUCACGAAAGCCGGUUGUACUAGAAGUCGCCACACUAACCCGCAAGGGAGGGAGGCGCCUAAGGUAUGGUCGGUGAUUGGGGUGAAGUCGUAACAAGGUAAGCGUAGUGCU